GAUGAACACUAGCGGGAGGCUUAACACAUGCAAGUCGAGCGGUAGGGCAGCAAUGCCUGAGAGCGGCGCACGGGUGCGUAACGCGUAUGCAACCUGCCUUAUACAGGGGAAUAGCCCAUGGAAACGUGGAUUAAUGUCCCAUAGGAUUACGGAUUCGCAUGGAUUUGUGAUUAAAACUGAGGUGGUAUAAGAUGGGCAUGCGUCUGAUUAGGUAGUUGGUAGGGUAAUGGCCUACCAAGCCGACGAUCAGUGGGGGUUCUGAGAGGAUUACCCCCCACACUGGUACUGAGACGCGGACCAGACUCCUACGGGAGGCAGCAGUGAGGAAUAUUGGUCAAUGGCCGGAAGGCUGAACCAGCCAUCCCGCGUGCAGGAUGACGGCCCUAUGGGUUGUAAACUGCUUUUGUACCUGAAGAAACCUGUUUACGAGUAGACAGUUGCCGGUAAGGUAUGAAUAAGCAUCGGCUAACUCCGUGCCAGCAGCCGCGGUAAGAC
rnacentral:rRNA from 1 species